ensembl:lncRNA MIR4458HG MIR4458 host gene
UGGUCGUGGGCGCGUGUGUGGAAUGGGAGGAGGUCGCGCUGUCCAUGGGCGUCCUUGGCCUGCGCCACCCAGAGAUGAUAAAUAGCCAAAGACGUCAAUGGCACCCAUGGACAUACUCUGGUCCACUGCUACUGCGGCUCUGGCAGGACUAGGGAGGUGCCCCGUGUCUCAGAUGGUGCAGCCUCCAUCCAGCUGUGUCCCUGAAUGACUAGAGCACAGCCACUGGUGACCUGUGGUGGACGUAGAAUGUGGGUAAGAGAUAAACUUAUGCUACACCGCUGGGGUUCAGGGGCUAAUUUGUUACCACAGCAUAGUCAACCUUUUCUAGCACCCCAUUCUGUCUAAAUUUAGUAGUCCUACCCCACUCCAUGCCUCCCCAACCCUUCCCCUGGCUUUAGUUUCUUUGUAGCACUGGUCCCCGCAUGACCUGUCGUUGCUUUACUUUCUCGCAUCACUUCUCCCUGCCUCCAGCACAUGCACUAAAAUUUAAACUCCAUGCCUGGACAAAAUCAAUGUUUGUUAAAUAAAGUCUGCCAGUUCUGUUUGCGAUUUUUCAGAAACAAGGAAAGAAAUCCUAUAUAAAGUUGAUCUGUGCUUUGGCAAUAUUCAUUUAGGGUAAUUGCCCUUUUUUCAAAUGGCUGUGCAUUUUUUAUGAUGAUGAAUAUAAAGUAUUUAGCAGAAAUAUUUUUUAUUAAAAUUGUUGAGCUUAUGGAAUCAAUGUAGCAGCCUAUGUGAAAGAAACACUGUGCUAGAGAGUUGUCUUUCUGCCACGUGUAAUCAUUACAUUUAACUCAAGUUCUCCAUGGGAGAUCCAUGCAGAGAUAUGAAAAUAGGACGGACGUCUCUUCCUUCUUAAAAGUUGCUCCAGAUUUUGGCUUCAAGUGCUUCCUGUUUUUUGCCCUCCCUUAUCCCUGGGAGUUCCCUCUAUUUACUUUCACAAGGACUCUUGGUAUAAAAGAUAUUUGUAUACCUGGGUGUGUGGGAAGGAAUUGAAGGCAAAGGUAGCAGUCAUUUCAAGCUGAACAUGUUAAGUGGUAAUCGAGCACUUGGUUUUUGUAGUACCUCCUGUGGCCAUCUCCACAGUGUCAUAUUUGAAAGAAAUCUUGUGUAAGCAUUGGUCUAAGGGUCACUGACUGUGAAUAAUGAAUGCGGUGACAGCAUGGCCAUCUUAGAGACAGGCAGGCCAGAUAUUGGUUACUUUGAUUUUAGUUGACAAAGUUUAUUUGCUUUUAAGUUUUAAAGCAAUACAGCAGUGUGAACUUCAAGUUGUAAACUUUCAUUUAGAAAGUUUAAAAUUUAGUUGAAAUAUAAAAUAUUCUGAAUCUGAAUAAAAAGUUUUAAAAC